rnacentral:lncRNA from 1 species
CUCAAUGAAGAGAGAGGCUGGCUAGAUGGAGGCUGUCAAUCAAAUAAUCAAUGCAUUGAAAGAAACUAUUAUCAUGUGUUCGAGAUAGAUUGAUUAGAUUUGUAUGAUCUAUGAGUGAUUGAAUGAUUGGUAUUCUCUCAAUUGUUAUCUACUUAUCUAACUUCAAAUCAACAACGACCUUAAAUUUACUUCUCUCCAUGGAUACCAAGGGAUCUACAAUUCUUUCAAACUAGAACAAGCUGGCAAGAUGUUCAAAUCUAAAAUCAGGGACAAACUGGUAAUAUUAUAUUUGGGCUUGACUUUUUUUUGGGCUUCUUUUAAAAAAUUGAUUUUUUUUUAAUUCAUGUUUCAUAUUUGGAUUUAGAUUCAGAUCCAUGGAAUUUUAUGUAUAUAAUUUUAAUAUCUUAUCAACUCAGGAAGAGAGGAAACCCUAUGGAAGAACACCAUGAUUGUCUAUCACUUGCAAGCAUUUUCAAUCCUUCAAACUUUUAAACUUUCAGUCUCUCAAUUGUUUUUGCUCUAGCUUUCAAAGUUUCAAAGGUCUUUCGAGCUUUGUUGAUAGAAAAUUUCGCAAGUUGUGGUAAAAUCAUUGGAAAUACCACAUUUCAUUGUGACAAUAUGACAACUAUUUACAUUACCUCAAUCAAACCUUGUGUUCCAUGAAUGCAUCAAGCAUAUUAAAAUGGACUGUUAUUUGAUGCG